UUGCACAUGCGGUAAAUUCCUUCGGUGCCUUCUCUCAAAGCAGAAGGGGUGGACCUGGUUUUCUGGAGGAGGGCUCAGCUUGUUAUUGCGGAAGAGAUCCAGUUGCAGCUAACACAGACAGACAAAAACAGAUUUGCCUCGGAUAUACCACUGAGGCUUCAUUUUUAUUCUCGGCCUCAACUAUACAACCCUCAGAGAAAUGGUGUGAUUGAUCAUCAAUGCCUGCAGGUAUGUGGUGCUGAAGAUCCGGGCUGCAGUGAGAGGCGAUGGGCAGCCAGAGAAAACAAGCACCACUGCAUGUGGCCAGGCUAAAGGACAAACAGAUGGCAGGAUGAGCGCUGAUGGGUCAGCCUUGAUUUCCCAACCGACCCAGACAGUUGAUGUCCUGCCAAAGAAAGACUGUGGAUCCUGAAAGUAAACCAAGAGCUGGAGGGCAGUGGGAAGGUCUAUAAUGAGGAGACAUACACAUACAAGAACACACACACACACACACACACACACACACACACACACACACCUACACAUACGUACAUACACACACACACUCAUUUGUUCUUUCCAAAUGCAAUGAAAUCAUCAAUUCCUCUGCAGUCUCGCCACACAAACCAUUCAUUAAAGAAAUCUGACAAAAAGACGUCGCACCUGUUUCCAGCUCUCGGUUUCCUUCAUCCAGUGUAGACAGCAGUCCGAGUUGGCAGAGAGAAUGAAAGCUUGAUCACCAAUUCCUCAGCCGAGGAACGGAUCAGUCUGGAUAAAUAUUAAAGACUCUGCUGAUAAAGCUGCAUCAUGCCAUGUAUUGUAGACAAGUUCUUUUUUUCCUGGCUUUGUAAUCAUUUUCAGUAAAAAAAAAGAGCAUUGUCCUUGA